rnacentral:tRNA from 1 species
GGCGCGGUGGCCAAGUGGUAAGGCGCCGGUCUCGUAAACCGAAGAUUGUGGGUCCGAACCCCGUCCGUGCCU